GCGUUCGGACUGGUCCAGGGAGGUCGGCAACGACCACCCCGGACCGGAAAGUCCGUCAAACUUGGUCAUUUAGAGGAAGUAAAAGUCGUAACAAGGUCUCCGUAGGUGAACCUGCGGAGGGAUCAUUAGAGAAAAACCACGGGUGGGCCCUGCGCCCGCCCUCUCUUCACACCCCUCACACUCGCAUCAACCGCGUCCGAGCUUUAACGAAAUCUAAUCAAAACUUUCAACAACGGAUCUCUUGGUUCUGGCAUCGAUGAAGAACGCAGCGAAAUGCGAUAAGUAAUGUGAAUUGCAGAAUUCAGUGAAUCAUCGAAUCUUUGAACGCACAUUGCGCCCCCUGGCACUCCGGGGGGCAUGCCCGUUCGAGCGUCAUUCCACCCCUCAGGCCUCGCCUGGUGUUGGGCGCCGCGGUGGGUUCCGUACCCCCCGCGCGCCCCCAAGUCCGCCGGCCGCGCCGCCCCGCCUCUGAGCGUUUUGGAAAAACGAUCCGCCCAGCGAGAAUCGGGGAAGCGUCGCGCCGACCAAAAACACCGGGGAGGAAGGGAAACCUCCCCCUCGCAUCCUUCCAAGGUUGACCUCGAAUCGGGUAGGGAUACCCGCUGAACUUAAGCAUAUCAAUAAGCGGAGGAAAAGAAACCAACAGGGAUUGCCUCAGUAACGGCGAGUGAAGCGGCAACAGCUCAAAUUUGAAAUCGGGCGC
rnacentral:rRNA from 2 species